UUCGCCCUUUUCCGGUUGAUCCUGCCGGACCUGACUGCUAUCGGAUUGAUACUAAGCCAUGCGAGUCAUUGUAGCAAUACGAGGCAGACGGCUCAGUAACGCGUAGUCAACCUAACCUAUGGACGGGAAUAACCUCGGGAAACUGAGAAUAAUGCCCGAUAGAACACUAUACCUGGAAUGGUUUGUGUUCCAAAUGAUUUAUCGCCGUAGGAUGGGACUGCGGCCUAUCAGUUUGUUGGUGAGGUAAUGGCCCACCAAGACUAUUACAGGUACGGGCUCUGAGAGGAGUAGCCCGGAGAUGGGUACUGAGACACGGACCCAGGCCCUAUGGGGCGCGGCAGGCGAGAAAACUUUGCAAUGUGCGAAAGCACGACAAGGUUAAUCCGAGUGGUUUCUGCUAAAGGAACCUUUUGUUAGUCCUAGAAACACUAACGAAUAAGGGGUGGGCAAGUUCUGGUGUCAGCCGCCGCGGUAAAACCAGCACCUCAAGUGGUCAGGAUGAUUAUUGGGCCUAAAGCAUCCGUAGCCGGCUCUGUAAGUUUUCGGUUAAAUCUGUACGCUCAACGUACAGGCUGCCGGGAAUACUGCAGAGCUAGGGA
rnacentral:rRNA from 1 species